UGCACACCUGCCAUGUGCCAGGAGCUGCCCCUACUAUGUGAGAAGAAUGGCAAUUAUGAAUAAGACGCAGUCCGUGCGCAUCUUGAGUGACAGCUAGACCAGGACACUGCAGCCAGUGCUGACUGUAAGGGGCCCAGAUCUACUUAAAAUGCUGGAUAAUCA
rnacentral:lncRNA from 1 species